rnacentral:rRNA from 1 species
UUACCUACGGGAGGCAGCAGUGGGGGAUAUUGCACAAUGGGGGAAACCCUGAUGCAGCGACGCCGCGUGGGUGAAGAAGCGCCUCGGCGCGUAAAGCCCUGUCAGCAGGGAAGAAAAUGACGGUACCUGAAGAAGAAGCCCCGGCUAACUACGUGCCAGCAGCCGCGGUAAUACGUAGGGGGCAAGCGUUAUCCGGAUUUACUGGGUGUAAAGGGAGCGUAGACGGCUGUGCAAGUCAGAAGUGAAAGCCCGGGGCUCAACCGCGGGACUGCUUUUGAAACUGUGUAGCUGGAGUGCAGGAGAGG